rnacentral:rRNA from 1 species
CCUACGGGUGGCAGCAGUGGGGAAUAUUGCACAAUGGGGGAAACCCUGAUGCAGCGACGCCGCGUGAGUGAAGAAGUAUUUCGGUAUGUAAAGCUCUAUCAGCAGGGAAGAAAAUGACGGUACCUGACUAAGAAGCCCCGGCUAACUACGUGCCAGCAGCCGCGGUAAUACGUAGGGGGCAAGCGUUAUCCGGAUUUACUGGGUGUAAAGGGAGCGUAGACGGCAGGGCAAGUCUGAUGUGAAAGGCCGGGGCUUAACCCCGGGACUGCAUUGGAAACUGUGCAGCUGGAGUGCAGGAGAGGUAAGCGGAAUUCCUAGUGUAGCGGUGAAAUGCGUAGAUAUUAGGAGGAACACCAGUGGCGAAGGCGGCUUACUGGACUGUAACUGACGUUGAGGCUCGAAAGCGUGGGGAGCAAACAGGAUUAGAUACCCGAGUAGUC